GUGCUCACAUUAUUAUCAACCUAAUUUUUCCUGCUAUAACCUAUCUUGUAAAUAAACUCCUGGGAAAUACUGUGUAGCAAUGCCAUUGGUAUCCAUGUUUGAAUUAAACAUAAAUCAUAAUUUAAUUGCAACUUUUAUUUUAUAUAUAUAUACAUCACAAUUAUAAUUUGGCCCUUGGGGAAACUACUCAGCUAAAAAAAUUAAUUUUUUGCUCCAUGCCUAAACCAAGAGCCUAGCUAUGUGCAUACUGAAAAGUAGCAAAGUAUAGAC
rnacentral:lncRNA from 1 species